rnacentral:rRNA from 1 species
AGACACCCGGCAGAUCACGUCAAAAACCUUGAACUAACAAGUAAAAACGCAGUGACCCCUAGCCCAUAUGUCUUUGGUUGGGGCGACCGCGGGGGAAAAUAAAGCCCCCAUGUGGACUGGGGGCACUGCCCCCACAGCCGAGAGCUACAGCUCUAAGCACCAGAAUUUCUGACCAAAAAUGAUCCGGCAAACGCCGAUCAACGGACCGAGUUACCCUAGGGAUAACAGCGCAAUCCUCUCCCAGAGUCCCUAUCGACGAGGGGGUUUACGACCUCGAUGUUGGAUCAGGACAUCCUAAUGGUGCAGCCGCUAUUAAG